UACGUAGGGGGCAAGCGUUAUCCGGAAUUAUUGGGCGUAAAGAGUGCGUAGGUGGUUUUGUAAGCGCGGGGUGAAAGGCUAUGGCUCAACCAUAGUAAGCCUUGCGAACUGCAAGACUUGAGUGCAGGAGAGGAAAGUGGAAUUCCUAGUGUAGCGGUGAAAUGCGUAGAUAUUAGGAGGAACGCCAGUGGCGAAGGCGACUUUCUGGACUGUAACUGACACUGAGGCACGAAAGCGUGGGGAGCAAACAGGAUUAGAAACCCUAGUAGU
rnacentral:rRNA from 1 species